AAUAGGCUAGGCUGUAAUAUUAGGUAAAAUCUAAUUUCAGUUUGGUUAUCACAUAGCGUUCAUUUCCCUAAGGGAGGAGAAAAAAUUAAAUUUGUAAGCUUAAGAUUCCAGCUGAAGUACUCAAGAAUCCUGUUUCUCUGACAGAGGAAAGGAACAACAACUUGACUGGACACAUCCUAACCCAACCAUACGCUGUGUUACUUCCUCCACUGCGCCACACACAGCUAUUAUUCUAAGCUCUCUUAUUCAAACCCUUAAGGAUUUGUAAGAUCAUUGCUGCAGUCUCAGUCUGCUCUGCAGGAAUAGACCAUCUGAGGACACAGCACGAAGGUGGCCAUCUGCAAUUCAAGGAGAGAAGCCUCGGGAGAAAAUAAACCUGCCGGCACCUUGAUCUUGGACUUUUAGUUUCCAGAGCUGUGAGAAAAUAAAUGUUUGUUGUUUAAGCCACCCAGUCCGUGGUAUUUUGUUAUGGCAAACCUAGCAGACUAAUACAGAGAAGGAUGAAAAAUGAAGAACAUUUUUUUUUUGGAGCCUAUUACAACAGAUGAAAAUUC
rnacentral:lncRNA from 1 species